CUUAAGAUGACAGAAUUAAUGUGAUAGCUUUAAAAUCUAUGAAUGGAAGUACCCUCUUAAGA
rnacentral:tRNA from 1 species